rnacentral:sRNA from 1 species
AGGGCAUGACUUCCCUCUUAAGGUUGUUGUAAGGUAGAGGAGAAAAGAUUCGUAGUUGUUACUGUGCAAACAUCAUGGAGCCCCUUGAUAACAAUAACUGUUAUUUAUGGAGCGCCCACUAAUGUAAUAUGCUUAUUAAUUUACAGCAUAAUUUUCAUAUUAAAAUUUUCCCUAAUAUGUUUUU